CCGUUAACUGUCUUCACCUGCUCAGAUGAUAGUUGACUCUGCUUGUGGAGAGACGAAAUACUCACGAAGCUUGUGUGUGAAUAAGAGCGCUUCAUCUUUGGGGACAAUUUUAUUGUGCUUGGAAGGAAACGGAUUUGUUGGAUUUUUGAGUGAUCGUGGCUGCAGUAACGUUAGUAAUGUCCCAUUUUGGGUUUGAGAAUGACAUCCACAACGUCCUCCGUCUGGACAUGCCCAUCACAAAUGCCCCGAUGGCGAGGUGGCAGAGAAAAGCCAGCACAUCCAACUCCACCAGCACGAACUCCCUCUCGCCGAACAAGAGUGUCAACAGAUCCGCGAGCCUUUCCAAAACCCCCAGUAAAACACCCGG